rnacentral:rRNA from 1 species
AGUGAACGCUGGCGGUAGGCCUAACACAUGCAAGUCGAACGGCAGCACAGUAAGAGCUUGCUCUUACGGGUGGCGAGUGGCGGACGGGUGAGGAAUACAUCGGAACCUACUUUUUCGUGGGGGAUAACGUAGGGAAACUUACGCUAAUACCGCAUACGACCUACGGGUGAAAGCAGGGGAUCUUCGGACCUUGCGCGAUUGAAUGAGCCGAUGUCGGAUUAGCUAGUUGGCGGGGUAAAGGCCCACCAAGGCGACGAUCCGUAGCUGGUCUGAGAGGAUGAUCAGCCACACUGGAACUGAGACACGGUCCAGACUCCUACGGGAGGCAGCAGUGGGGAAUAUUGGACAAAGGGCGCAAGCCUGAUCCAGCCAUACCGCGUGGGUGAAGAAGGCCUUCGGGUUGUAAAGCCCUUUUGUCGGGAAAGAAAAGCAGCAGGUUAAUACCCCGCUGUUCUGACGGUACCCAAAGAAUAAGCACCGGCUAACUUCGUG